rnacentral:rRNA from 1 species
UACGAAGGUGGCGAGCGUUACUCGGAAUUACUAGGCGUAAAGGGCAGGUAGGUGGUUUGAUAAGUCUAUUGUGAAAGCUCCUGGCUUAACUGGGAGAGGUCAACAGAAACUAUCAGGCUUGAGUAUGGGAGAGGGUAUUGGAAUUCCCGGUGUAGCGGUGAAAUGCGCAGAGAUCGGGAGGAACACCUAUGGCGAAAGCAGAUACCUGGACCAUUACUGACACUCAGCUGCGAAAGCUAGGGGAGCAAACAGG